UUUAUCUUCUUUUUUUCAAAACAAAUUCCUGGAAAUAAGUCUCCUUUCUUCUCUUACCUUGUUAUCCCACCAUUUUUCUUCCCCUCAUUUUUACUGAUUUUGAAGACAAACCUCGAACAAAAAGGAAGGUUAUUGGUUUUCAAGUGCAAAUUCUGGCUCAACCCAAACUCCAAAUUUCGUUGAAUUUGUGUUCUACAAAGUUUCUGAAGAGAGGAUAAGGCGGUAAGCUUACGAAGAGCUUAAAAAAAAGUUGGUAAUUUUGCUGGUCUAAUAUGUAUAUCAAGGGGCUAUCUGGAGUUAUCUCUAUGUUUCUUUGAUCCAGGCUUGUGCCAUGUUUUUGUUGUGUAUAUAAUGUUAGAAUCUUGGGAAAAAGUUUUAUAUGACUUGCAUGGUAUUUUGGUGAUUCGGUAAGGUCUAAAUUUUGGUAUAUGUGGUACUGCUUGUUAUGUUUCAUUUUGCUGUGUACAAAUAAGAAUGAAAAUGUGUACUAAAUUGAUGUGCAUACUUGAAGUGGGUUGACCAA